rnacentral:rRNA from 1 species
UACGAAGGGGGCUAGCGUUGUUCGGAAUUACUGGGCGUAAAGCGCACGUAGGCGGUCUUUUAAGUCGGGGGUGAAAUCCUGGAGCUCAACUCCAGAACUGCCCUUGAUACUGGCGGUCUCGAGUCCGGGAGAGGUGAGUGGAACUGCGAGUGUAGAGGUGAAAUUCGUAGAUAUUCGCAAGAACACCAGUGGCGAAGGCGGCUCACUGGCCCGGUACUGACGCUGAGGUGCGAAAGCGUGGGGAGCAAACAGG